AUUGAACGCUGGCGGCAUGCCUAACACAUGCAAGUCGAACGAGUCGCGGACGGGUGAGUAAUGUCUGGGAAACUGCCUUAUGGCGGGGGAUAACUCCUGGAACCGGUGGCUAAUCCCGCAUACCAUCCGCUGUUCCCAGGUGGGAUUAGCUUGUUGCUGGGGGAACGGCUCACCAAGGCAACGAUCCAUAGCGGGUCUGAGAGGAUGAACAGCCACACUGGAACUGAGACACGGUCCAGACUCCGACGGGAGGCAGCAGUGGGGAAUAUUGCACAAUGGGCGAAAGCCUGACAGAGCCACGCCGCGUGAAUGAUGAAGGUCUUCGGGUCGUAAAGUACUGUUAGUGGGGAGGCGGUACCUGAUGAAGAAGCAACGGCUAACUCCGUGCCAGCAGCCGCGGUAAUAC
rnacentral:rRNA from 1 species